GGGGAUAACUAUUGGAAACGAUAGCUAAUACCGCAUAACAAUGGAUGACACAUGUCAUUUAUUUGAAAGGGGCAAUUGCUCCACUACAAGAUGGACCUGCGUUGUAUUAGCUAGUAGGUGAGGUAAUGGCUCACCUAGGCGACGAUACAUAGCCGACCUGAGAGGGUGAUCGGCCACACUGGGACUGAGACACGGCCCAGACUCCUACGGGAGGCAGCAGUAGGGAAUCUUCGGCAAUGGGGGCAACCCUGACCGAAAGCUCUGUUGUAAGUCAAGAACGGGUGUGAGAGUGGAAAGUUCACACUGUGACGGUAGCUUACCAGAAAGGGACGGCUAACUACGUGCCAGCAGCCGCGGUAAUACGUAGGUCCCGAGCGUUGUCCGGAUUUAUUGGGCGUAAAGCGAGCGCAGGCGGUUUGAUAAGUCUGAAGUUAAAGGCUGUGGCUCAACCAUAGUUCGCUUUGGAAACUGUCAAACUUGAGUGCAGAAGGGGAGAGUGGAAUUCCAUGUGUAGCGGUGAAAUGCGUAGAUAUAUGGAGGAACACCGGUGGCGAAAGCGGCUCUCUGGUCUGUAACUGACGCUGAGGCUCGAAAGCGUGGGGAGCGAACAGGAUUAGAUACCCUGGUAGUCCACGCCGUAAACGAUGAGUGCUAGGUGUUGGAUCCUUUCCGGGAUUCAGUGCCGCAGCUAACGCAUUAAGCACUCCGCCUGGGGAGUACGACCGCAAGGUUGAAACUCAAAGGAAUUGACGGGGGCCCGCACAAGCGGUGGAGCAUGUGGUUUAAUUCGAAGCAACGCGAAGAACCUUACCAGGUCUUGACAUCCCGAUGCUAUUUCUAGAGAUAGAAAGUUACUUCGGUACAUCGGUGACAGGUGGUGCAUGGUUGUCGUCAGCUCGUGUCGUGAGAUGUUGGGUUAAGUCCCGCAACGAGCGCCACCCCUAUUGUUAGUUGCCAUCAUUCAGUUGGGCACUCUAGCGAAAUGGCGGU
rnacentral:rRNA from 1 species